rnacentral:misc_RNA from 1 species
AAUCGAGCUUGCUCUUCUUGGUCAUGACCCUUGGUUCCUGUGUUGCCUUCCCAUCGUAUGGAAAAAUUCGAGAGAUAGCCCCGCACCUGUCCUCAUUGUGGCUUUGCGNGCUGCAAUGCGGACCUCGAAAGCAUUCCCCGUGUCCCGGGCAUAUCCUCUGACUUUUGUCGUGGCUGUCUCGGUCCACAGGGCAACUGCUCGUGCUCCCGGAUGUGGAAAAUUAAGCGGACGUGGGGGGGUCUCGGCCUCCGGUUGCUCCAAUCUAGUCCCUCGAUAAGAAUGACUCUCGCUACCCCAUCGACGGCCUGUGGCAUCGAUGCGGGUCCGAAGUCGAGAAAGAAUGCUACC